GCGAUCCAGCGCGGGAGGGCGGCGUGCGGGGCUGGCACAGCACCGUAACACCCCGCACACCCGCGGGGGCCCCUCCCGACCGCGCCAUGAAAGGAGAUGCUGGCGUACUCCCGGUAACAUCAGAGACAUAUUUCUAGGAAGGAUGAAGGUUUUUGAUGGCCUUUACUUGCAAACAUACCUUUUGAGUCAGCUAUGAUUUGGAGGUUUCAUGAUUGUAGA
rnacentral:lncRNA from 1 species